rnacentral:rRNA from 1 species
GUAGGUGGCAAGCGUUGUCCGGAAUUAUUGGGCGUAAAGCGCGCGCAGGCGGUCCUUUAAGUCUGAUGUGAAAGCCCACGGCUCAACCGUGGAGGGUCAUUGGAAACUGGGGGACUUGAGUACAGAAGAGGAAAGCGGAAUUCCACGUGUAGCGGUGAAAUGCGUAGAGAUGUGGAGGAACACCAGUGGCGAAGGCGGCUUUCUGGUCUGUAACUGACGCUGAGGCGCGAAAGCGUGGGGAGCAAACAGGGAUUAGAUACCCUGGUAGUCCACGCCGUAAACGAUGAGUGCUAAGUGUUAGGGGGGUUUCCGCCCCCUUAGUGCUGCAGCUAACGCAUUAAGCACUCCGCCUGGGGUAGUACGGCCGCAAGGCUG